UACGUAGGGCGCAAGCGUUAUCCGGAAUUAUUGGGCGUAAAGAGCUCGUAGGCGGUUUGUCGCGUCUGCCGUGAAAGUCCGGGGCUCAACUCCGGUUCUGCAGUGGGUACGGGCAGACUAGAGUGCAGUAGGGGAGACUGGAAUUCCUGGUGUAGCGGUGAAAUGCGCAGAUAUCAGGAGGAACACCGGUGGCGAAGGCGGGUCUCUGGGCCGAUACUGACGCUGAGGAGCGAAAGCGUGGGGAGCGAACAGG
rnacentral:rRNA from 1 species